rnacentral:tRNA from 1 species
UACUUAAAUAGCUUAUCAGAGCAUAAUAUUGAAGAUAUUAAGGUAAUAAAUUUAUUUUUAAGU